CCUACGGGAGGCUGCAGUGAGGAAUAUUGGUCAAUGGGCGCGAGCCUGAACCAGCCAAGUAGCGUGAAGGAUGACUGCCCUACGGGUUGUAAACUUCUUUUAUCAGGGAAUAAAAUGAGCCACGUGUGCCUUUUUGUAUGUACUUUAUGAAUAAGCAUCGGCUAACUCCGUGCCAGCAGCCGCGGUAAUACGGAGGAUCCGAGCGUUAUCCGGAUUUAUGGGGUUUAAAGGGAGCGUAGAUGGGUUGUUAAGUCAGUUGUGAAAGUUUGCGGCUCAACCGUAAAAUUGCAAUUGAUACUGGCAGCCUUGAGUGCAGUUGAGGUAGGCGGAAUUCGUGGUGUAGCGGUGAAAUGCUUAGAUAUCACGAAGAACUCCGAUUGCGAAGGCAGCUUACUAAACUGCGACUGACAUUGAUGCUCGAAAGUGUGGGUAUCAAACAGGAUUAGAUACCCCAGUAGUC
rnacentral:rRNA from 1 species